rnacentral:misc_RNA from 1 species
GACCAUGGGAUGCAGGUUGCACUGCUACGGUCUCCACAUCUGUUACAAUCUGUCCGAGCCUAAGUCACGUUCGCGCGCCUAACUAUUCGUCACGUUAAUCCGUCGCGAGUCUGAAUGAUUACGAGACGACGACUGGUCUGACUGUCAGGGUUAACUUUCAACGGGGAGAAGCGUGCCACGGAGCUUUACUGUGAAUCGACGCAUCGUCUUGGUUCGAGUUUCUUCAUUCAUAAAUUUGGAGUGGAAAAGAAGCCAUAAGCGCGAAAAGUUGCACGCUGAAAGAAGGACGUGGACGGUCGCGUUUGCUCGGUUCCAUACCUCUGGGCCUGGCGAAGGACUUCAUGGCCUUGAUUCCCAUUCCGGCAUAAGCGUCGCCGCCGUAGUCAACGUACAUGAGUGCUGUCCUCGCGUGCUCACUGUACAUACACGAAUUCCCGGAUCACUGUCAUUCACUUUGCGUCUUUUGUAUUUCCCUGUGGCGUGUAUCGCGCGCGAACGCGCCUCUAUUACAUCACUUGGAUGGAAAGUAACACAACAAGUAGGGGGUUGAACUGAACUCGUCUCGGUCGUGGUACGAUCGUCGGUUCCAUCGAGGCAAACGUUCGCUGCUCGUCGAUCGAACGAUCGAACUUCGAUCGGUCACGGCAUCGCGAACAAUAAUUGCGAAAGGGGAGUCGAUGGCGGAACCGAAAGUUCUCUUUUAGCCCAUGCUAGAUCCUCAAGGUGUCGGCGGUUCGAGUGGUCGAUGACGCGAGCUGUCAAUGGAGCAUCAGUGGUCUGACAGAAGCAGAGCUUGCCGUUAAGAACUUCUCUUACACUAUUCUACACACUAUUUCGAAAUGGUGGUUCGCGAAUGAAAACUUUCAUCGAAUUUCCAAACAACGAUCAACGUUUAAAAAUGAUCGUUUUCGAGUGUCGUCUGGUGCUGUGUGACGGAGCAGAGUCGUAAGAAAGUCUUCACGAUCAGAAAAUCUUCGACUUGCUGUCAACUUUAGACGUUAUCGAACAUUGUCGAUAAGCAAAGGCACGGUUUCGAGAAGCACGAGACCGCGAGCCAUGGCAGGUCUCUCUGUAAAGACGGCAGGUGAGCAGCUCGGCGAAGAAACUGGUCGAACUCGGCUACGACUGGCAGGAACGACGAAGAGAAACACACGAGGCGACUCCUCGCGUCUUGCAAGCCGGUCCGCGCGUAGUGUCCAGC